UCGAUCUAGAACAUAGGAGGGCGACCAACUCACCUUCCAAAACCUAGUUUCACAAAAUUGCUCAAAUUGAGGGCUCUAGUCUGUUCCAAAUCGAUUUCUAAGCGCAAAUUCGUGAUCAUCUCAUUGAAGGGAUCAUAAGGCAAGGAGUCCGGAUCGUCAAGUGGACAAGCCGGAGGGGAUACGCGCUUGAAAGGGGCUCUAAAGGUAAUGCUCGUUCGUUUCGGAUGCCAAUCAAGCAAGGAAAUCAAGAACCGAACACAAGUUUUGAAGCUUCCGCACUAAUCUAAUUAUGUUUAAACAAU